rnacentral:rRNA from 1 species
CCUACGGGUGGCAGCAGUGAGGAAUAUUGGUCAAUGGGCGCGAGCCUGAACCAGCCAAGUCGCGUGAGGGAAGACGGUCCUAUGGAUUGUAAACCUCUUUUAUCGGGGAGUAAAAUACGCCACGCGUGCCGUUCCGAGAGUACUCGAUGAAUAAGCAUCGGCUAACUCCGUGCCAGCAGCCGCGGUAAUACGGAGGAUCCGAGCGUUAUCCGGAUUUAUUGGGGUUAAAGGGAGCGGAGGUGGGAUGUUAAGUCAGUUGUGAAAUUUGGAGGCUCAACCGCAAAAGUGCAUGUGAACUGGGCAGUCGUGAGUAAAGUUGAGGUAUGCGGAAUUCGUGGUGUAGCGGUGAAAUGCGUAG